rnacentral:misc_RNA from 1 species
AAUUAUCAACCUUUUCUUUUGUAAUGAUUGAUCAGGCUUGGAUGUGGGGGCUGCGGGUCUCUCAGAGAUCGGCUCCCCUUAAAUGCAUUAGUGGAACCCUUUGUGGAUCAUUAUUGGCGUGAUAAUUAUCUAUCCCAGUGAUCGUGAAGCAAGCCUAACAAGCACCAGGGUUUGGCUUAUAACCGUCCCUCUCUGGGACAAAUCUUCAUUUUA